UACGUAGGGGGCAAGCGUUGUCCGGAAUCAUUGGGCGUAAAGCGCGUGUAGGCGGUUCGAUAAGUCUGCUGUGAAAGUCCAGGGCUCAACCCUGGGAUGCCGGUGGAUACUGGCGAGCUAGAGUACGGAAGAGGCGAGUGGAAUUCCCGGUGUAGCGGUGAAAUGCGCAGAUAUCGGGAGGAACACCAAUUGCGAAGGCAGCUCGCUGGGACGUCACUGACGCUGAGACGCGAAAGCGUGGGGAGCAAACAGG
rnacentral:rRNA from 1 species